AGAGUUUGAUCCUGGCUCAGGACGAACGCUGGCGGCACGCUUAACACAUGCAAGUCGAACGAGAGAAGAGAAGCUUGCUUUUCUGAUCUAGUGGCGGACGGGUGAGUAACACGUGAGCAAUCUGCCUUUCAGAGGGGGAUACCGAUUGGAAACGAUCGUUAAUACCGCAUAACAUAAUUGAACCGCAUGAUUUGAUUAUCAAAGAUUUAUCGCUGAAAGAUGAGCUCGCGUCUGAUUAGCUAGUUGGUAAGGUAACGGCUUACCAAGGCGACGAUCAGUAGCCGGACUGAGAGGUUGAUCGGCCACAUUGGGACUGAGACACGGCCCAGACUCCUACGGGAGGCAGCAGUGGGGAAUAUUGCACAAUGGAGGAAACUCUGAUGCAGCGAUGCCGCGUGAGGGAAGAAGGUUUUAGGAUUGUAAACCUCUGUCUUCAGGGACGAAAAAUGACGGUACCUGAGGAGGAAGCUCCGGCUAACUACGUGCCAGCAGCCGCGGUAAUACGUAGGGAGCGAGCGUUGUCCGGAAUUACUGGGUGUAAAGGGAGCGUAGGCGGGAUCGCAAGUCAGAUGUGAAAACUAUGGGCUUAACCCAUAAACUGCAUUUGAAACUGUGGUUCUUGAGUGAAGUAGAGGUAAGCGGAAUUCCUAGUGUAGCGGUGAAAUGCGUAGAUAUUAGGAGGAACACCAGUGGCGAAGGCGGCUUACUGGACGAUAACUGACGCUGAGGCUCGAAAGCGUGGGGAGCAAACAGGAUUAGAUACCCUGGUAGUCCACGCCGUAAACG
rnacentral:rRNA from 1 species